CAUUGUUACUAGUGAAUUUGAGGAAUUUGAAGAUCAGACAAUAAAAGAUGCUGAAAUCUGCUAACAAAUGCAGGCUCUCUUACCAGGUAAUAAAAUAUACUAUUUGGCGUGAUCUUUUCAGCAGGUGAGUAACACUGUAUGUACUUACCAGACAAAAUUCAUGUUCAAGACUCUUGAUUUUCACAACCUCCCUCUGCCUCUACAGAUUGCUGGACACCCAGUGAAGAUGUAGCCUCUACAGAACCCAAUAAUCCUUAGAAGAUCUGCCAGGCAAUGGCCACCAUGGCCAGGGCCAAGGCAUUGUGCCAAAAGUGCACCCUGCUGUCUCCUUUGCCUGUGUCUAAGCAUUUGACCAUUUUCUUUUGUCAGAGAAAACCAUCUAUUCACACUGUUGUUUCAAAGGAAUAAAAAGACAAGCUGGAGAAAAAUCAAGCAAUUCAUUCAAACCCACGUUAGCAGGUGCUAAAUAAAGCAAAGGCUAAAAGUGGGGGAUGCUUAGAGUCCUCAAAACUGACAGUUGAAAGGAACUCUAGAAAUCACCUAAGAAUUUCACUUUAUGGAAAAUAAGUCUGAGGCUGCCUUCUUGGUAGUGGGAAGAUAUUAAAUGCAUCUCAGGUGUCUCAAACUCUGUGGGGGUACACCUCCACUCCCUCUUGGUGCAAAGAUUCCACACACACCCCCAUCGUUCACAUACCAUGAUCCAGAUGUAGAACUCUCGGCUCCUUCCCCAGCACCAUGUCUGCCUGCAUGCCACCAUACUUCCUGCCAUGAUGACAAUGGACUAACCCUCUGAAACGGAACCAGUACUUCCUAGCUUCGUGAUCACCUUGAAAAGCAAUAGAGAGUAGAUGUCACACUCCCAAAAUGUAAUGAGCCACAUGAACAAUGGAAUCAUUCCUAAUAGAGAAGAUAUUUUGUCCCAGUAGGAAUAAAUGAACCAUUUAUUGCCACUGAAGUAUGAAAUUUGUUUCUAAUGUAGUUAAUAAAUGCAAAUAAUUUCCUUCAACUGCUCGGAGGAACUCAACUAAGCAAGACAAUGAGGCAAUGUUUUUGAAACUGAGUGUGACUCAAGACUACAGUGCAUAAAAGCAAAUGCAAACUGACACUGCAUUGUUUAAGUAGCAGAACCACAGCCAGAGUGGAACCGGAGAAAAAGCGGUACCUAGCACACUAGUAAAUCGACGUGGUGAUCAUUUCCUUACUUCCAUCAACUUGAAGCAGUCAGAAACACUGAUCGUGAGACAGAAACCAGGCUGUCAUGUACAAACUGCUCUUGACUGAUCCAUAGGGACAAGGAAGUACAAAUUUACCGCCUGGCAUGGAAAGAUGGGACACAAAGUAGGGGUGCCGGGAGACCCCCUUCUAUUGCUUUGACACCAGUGUUUAGCUAAAGGGUCUCUAAAUGACUAUCUGAUUACUUUCUGUAUAGUUCAGUUCCCAUGCCCAGAAUGAAAGGAGGUUUUCUCGCUUUCAGUAUUUGGUUUUUACAAAGAAGGUCCUUUGCCCUUAUAAGAAACAUAAAAACACAUUGCUUGACACAUGCCAUUUGAGGAAAACUCACGCUUUGGAUUCUGAAGGGUUGUAUGAAAUCUGAAUGUUGUCUCCAAAAGCACAGGGCCAGAAUGCGUGUAGAACUGGGCCCCAUUCAUUGCAUGGAGCACGCAGCACCGUCAUGCAACACCGUCAUGCAACACCGUCAUGAAACACCGUCUCUGGUGCUUUGACAGUAGCUUGAGAGCAGGAACAGGUUUACAUUUUAGCUCCUGCAUCAGCUUCAAACGUCAGUCACUUCCCCUUGCUACUUUGAUGCCUGACUUCUCCUGCCUUCUCCACCCCCUUCCCCUCUCAUUCUCCCCACUUUCCACAUCUCCUGCUUGCUCAUGGCCACAGCCUCUGUUCCACACAGCCUCCACACCUGUCUCCUCACGUGUGCCACUUUGAGCCCUGCUGGCUUUCUGGGCCUUUCAUUCGAAGUUCCCUGAAGAAAACUUGCACGAGCCAAGCAGUUAUGCCUAUGGCAGGCCCUGUGCAGAGCUUCUUGUGCUAAGAACCUGGAAAGUCCAUCCAGAUCACAGAUGGUACAGCUCUACCCCUGGUCUGCUCUGUGGAAGCCAGGUGGGCAGGUACCCACGGAAUAAACAGGGAGGCCUUUAUAAAAGCAAACAACAGAGGCUGGGGUGAGUCUAGCACGUCAUGCCUCAAAAGAGACCAGUGAGACCCAAGAGUUAAGCUACCUUCCAGGAAGUCCUUUUCUAUCUCAAGUUCUAUGACAAACCUUUUAAAAAAAAUUUUUUUUCAAUGCCGGAGCCACCAGUGUGAUAAUUCUCAAUCUUGUAUGUGUCUGACUUUUUACCUAAAUAGAAACUAAUCCCCAAGGGAGAAAGGGAGCUGAGGGCAAUGACUCCCUAUACUAAGAGAGCAAGUACUCUACACAAAGGGGAACGAGGCUGGUUAUGUUUCUGAUGUACCGAAACAACCAUUACAGCAAUUACUCACAUUGCCACUAACCCGCUAAGGUGACACAAAACAAAGCAGAAUCAUAACUCUCCUAAAAGCACCGUCAAGGCCAAGGCCAGAAUUUGUCUCCAACACAGAUCCGUUCAUUUAUACCUCUACUCACUUCCACUGAGAUGACCAGUUUCCAUAUAAAUGGGUUUAUUAAUAAAAAUUGGCAGAUAAAGAUAUAUGAUAGGAGGUAUAUACUUCAAUCCCUAUAACAUUGGGUUGUAUAGUGUUUUAUUAUUUCAUUUUUCCCCAAAUGCAUCUUUCAAUUCUAAAAGAAAGUGUACAUUUCUUUAAAAAUAUGUCACAUUGCACAGACUCUUCACUCUUUCUAUUGUAUUUUUUGAUAAUUGGUUACCCAUGACACUAU